rnacentral:rRNA from 1 species
GACGAACGCUGGCGGCGCGCCUAACACAUGCAAGUCGAACGGAGCUGAGAGAAGCUUGCUUUUCUUAGCUUAGUGGCGAACGGGUGAGUAACGCGUGAGUAACCUGCCCUGGAGUGGGGGACAACAGUUGGAAACGACUGCUAAUACCGCAUAAGCCCACGAUCCGGCAUCGGAUUGAGGGAAAAGGAUUUAUUCGCUUCAGGAUGGACUCGCGUCCAAUUAGCUAGUUGGUGAGGUAACGGCCCACCAAGGCGACGAUUGGUAGCCGGACUGAGAGGUUGAACGGCCACAUUGGGACUGAGACACGGCCCAGACUCCUACGGGAGGCAGCAGUGGGGGAUAUUGCACAAUGGGGGAAACCCUGAUGCAGCGACGCCGCGUGGAGGAAGAAGGUUUUCGGAUUGUAAACUCCUGUCGUUAGGGACGAUAAUGACGGUACCCAACAAGAAAGCACCGGCUAACUACGUG